UUCUGAAAUAAUAUAGCAAGUGGUAGUAACCAAGAUAACUUGAGCAUUUAUUUCACAGGGAAAAACAAAAAUAUUUUUGGCUAUUCUCUCCCGGAUUAGGAGUAGAAUAUUUUUGGGUGGUUUUGGAGAUGGAAAUGAGUGGAUAUAUGUGGAUGCGUACUUCCGGAGUAGAAGCAGCAUGUGUGAGUGAUCGUGCAAGUGAAUCUUAAUUUUAACCACAUGACAAGCUCCUAAGGGUCUACACAGCUUGACCACACUCAAUGCUCAUAAGCAGUAAAAAGUAAAUGUGUGGCUCAAAGUCUAGCAAGCAUGUAUAUAUGGCUGUGGUAGGAAUUUAAACUCUCAUCAUACAGGAACUCAUCAUGUGAUAUUUUAAAGAUUUUCAAAGAUAAAAUUCUCUA
rnacentral:lncRNA from 1 species